rnacentral:rRNA from 1 species
ACAGGUGGCUGCAUGGCUGUCGUCAGCUCGUGUCGUGAGAUGUUGGGUUAAGUCCGCAACGAGCGCAACCCUUGCCUUUAGUUGCCAGCAGUUCGGCUGGGCACUCUAAAGGGACUGCCGGUGUUAAACCGGAGGAAGGUGGGGAUGACGUCAAGUCCUCAUGGCCUUUAUGACCAGGGCUACACACGUACUACAAUGGCCGAUACAAAGGGCAGCGACACUGGCGAGGUGAAGCCAAUCCCGUAAAAUCGGUCUCAGUCCGGAUUGGAGUCUGCAACUCGACUCCAUGAAGUUGGAAUCGCUAGUAAUCGUGGAUCAGCAUGCCACGGUGAAUACGGUUCCCGGGCCUU